GUGGUGCCAAGCAGUGCCCCAAUAAUACCAGCUCUGCCCCUGCUCCGAGGAUGGUGUGUCUUCCCCACCAGAGUGAUCUAGGACUCCUAGAGCUUGCACACAAUCUACAGCCAGACCUCAUGGCCUUGACCAGGUGACAGCUUCAAAAGUGUUUCAGGUGUAGCUGAGCAGACCCACUUCCAGGGCUGAGCGGAAGACUCGGCCAACCCCCUGCAGUCCACAGAGGGCUGCUGAGCAGGAGCACAGGUCUCAGCCACACCAACUAGAGGCCAUGAAACAACUCCAAGAACUCCAUGCUGUUAGACAAGAGGCUUUCUCCUUCCGAGGACACCAGCCUUAGAAAUAUGGUUAGAGACACUAAAUUCUCUGCCCCAGGAUAAAGUUGGAAGUGAGGGCAAAAGUGGAGCAGGAGAUAAGAGAGCAAGAGGAAUCAACACUUUUUCCCUCGGGCUUCUUUUAAACACCUCAACCUGCAAACUCUUAUCUCAAAAGGAGACAAUCAAGCCCAUGGAAAAAAGCCAGUCAUUGGACUAUCAGCUUGGGACAAGGGAAAGACGAGAUGGGACUUUUGGACUUCCUUGAGACAGAGGCCACACCAGAGAGUGUUGAGCUAAUCACUGGUCAGAAUUGGAGAGCUCACUCUAAGGCCCACUGGCCAGAAUCUAAAUUCCGGGGCACUGACUUGACAAGAUAACUAAAUUUGCCUUUCCUAAAAUUGACUGGCAGCAAACAGAUCCCAAAGCUACCAAGUUUUUAAGAGAAUUGAGUUUUCAGAGACUCCCCAGGCUGUUGAACAAAGGUCUACACAUAUAUUGUUGUGCAGCUUUUCUUUUUUCAAUUAGCAAUGCAUCUUGGGACGAGGUUCAUACCAGUGCCUACUGGCUUGACCUUCUGUCUUUAACAUCUACAAGUGAUAUUUCAUUAUAUAGAGUUUUAUAAUUUCUUUAUCAAGUCCACUAUUGCUGACCACCGACUGCUAUCCAAUUUAGAGAUACCAUACAGAAUGCUGCACUGAAUAUCCUUGACUGUACUUGUGAAAAUAAGUUUUUCUUUAAAACUCAAAGGUGGUACUAUGGAGAGGGUUACUAUAUCCCAGCCGACAACUCCUUGAACCUAACAAGCAUUGGUUCAAUAAAUGA